AGCUCCAAUAGCGUAUAUUAAAGUUGUUGCAGUUAAAAAGCUCGUAGUUGGAUUUCUGGUAGAAGGAUCGAGCGCACCUGCGUGAUGCUCGCGUCUUCUGCCAUCCUUCUGUUAACCUUUCUCGGCAUUGACUUGUCGGCUAGGGGCUCAGAUAUUUUACCUUGAGAAAAUUAGAGUGUUUCAGGCAGGCUUAUGCCCGGAUACAUUAGCAUGGAAUAAUGGAACAGGACUUCGCUUCUUCUGUUGGUUUGAGGGGUUGAAGUAAUGAUUAAUAGGGAUAGUUGGGGGCAUUAGUACUUAACUGUCAGAGGUGAAAUUCUCGGAUUUGUUAAAGACUAACUUAUGCGAAAGCAUUUGCCAAGGAUGUUUUCA
rnacentral:rRNA from 1 species